ACGUGACCCAAAGCAGCGGGGGCGCGCCCGAGCCGCCAUGUCGGUGGCGCCUGGGGAGCCGGGGUCCGGGCCUGAGGCCGGCGCCCGAUUCUUCUGCACCGCGGGCCGCGGCCUGGAGCCGUUCCUGAUGCGGGAGGUGAGGGCGCGGCUGGCAGCCACGCAGGUUGAAUAUAUUUCAGGAAAGGUUUUUUUCACCACCUGUUCCGAUUUGAAUAUGUUGAAGGAAUUAAAAUCUGCAGAAAGAUUGUUUUUGCUGAUUAAAAAGCAGUUUCCACUUAUUGUUUCUUCUGAAAAAUAUUUAAUGAAAUGCAAAGACUUAUAAAUGAAGAUCCAGGAAGUUGGUUGAAUGCCAUUUCAAUUUGGAAAAAUCUUCUUGAACUUAAUGCAAAAAAGGAAAAACUUUCUCAGAGAGAUGAUAACCAACUGAAAAGAAAAGUGGGAGAAAAUGAAAUCAUCAUUGCAAAGAAAUUAAAAAUAGAACAAAUGCAAAAGAUAGAAGAGAAUAGGGACUGCCAGCUGGGAAAACAAAUAGAAGAACAAACUCUGGAGCAAAGAGAUUUUACCACUAAAAGAGAAAACUUUCAAGAAGGAUUUCAGAAUGACACAGAGAUAGCAACUGAUACUCGUAAUCAGAAUGACUUGACUUUCAGAGUAUCUUGUCGCUGCAGUGGAACUGUUGGAAAGGCCUUCACUGCACAGGAGGUAGGAAAAGUAAUUGGAAUUGCUCUUAUGAAACACUUUGGAUGGAAAGCAGAUUUGAGGAAUCCAAAAUUAGAGAUCUUUAUACAUCUAAAUGACAUUUAUUCUGUGGUGGGGAUUCCUGUGUUCAGGGUUCCUCUAGCCAGCAGAGCUUACAUCAAGACAGCUGGACUGCGAUCUACCAUAGCGUGGGCAAUGGCAUCUCUCGCUGACAUUAAGGUACCAUAUGGCUCUGGCUGAAAUGACUGUCCACAGAGGACUCUGCUUCCUCUGUGGACAUAUCAAGUGGUGGAUUUUUUUCUCCCCUAUCUUGAGUACCACUGGGCCUGAAGUGGGGCUGGUGCAUUUGUUUUAGAUCCAAUGUGUGGACUUGGAACAAUACUUUUGGAAGCUGCUAAAGAAUGGCCAGAUGUGUAUUAUGUAGGUGCUGAUGUCAGUGACUCACAGUUACUAGGUACUUGGGACAAUCUAAAAGCUGCAGGCCUCGAGGAUAAAAUCGAAUUACUUCAAGUCUCUGUUAUAGAAUUGCCACUGCCUUCAGAAAGUGUUGAUAUUAUUAUUUCUGACAUUCCGUUUGGGAAAAAAUUUAAGUUAGGAGAAGACAUCAAAAGGAUUCUACAAGAAAUGGAAAGAGUGCUUCAUGUUGGUGGAACCAUUGUACUGUUGCUUAGUGAAGAUCACCACAGGCGUCUUACAGAUUGUAAAGAGAGCAGUAUCCCUUUCAAUUCCAAGGACAGUCACACAGAUGAACCUGGAAUUAAAAAGUGCUUGAUUCCUGAAGAAAAAACUGGUACAUCCAAGACAGUGUCAACUUCAUUUGAAGCCAGUAACCACAAGUUCUUAGACAAAAUGUCACCAUUUGGCUCCUUGGUCCCAGUGGAAUGCUACAAAGUUAGCCUUGGAAAGACAGAUGCGUUCAUAUGUAAAUACAAGAAGUCGCACUCUUCUGGACUGUAGCAGGCUUGCCACCAUCAGCCAGGGUCAGGCCCUUGUAAGUUAGCUGUACAGCAGAAGUUUGCUGUCUCGAGGAUUCAUAUGGCACCCACAGAGCUCCAAGUAACUGGAUUCCCCCAAAAACAGGAGGUGUGGCUGAUGGGUUCAUGUGCUUGGUAAGAGUUUCUGCUUUAUACUUUAAAGUGCUUAAUGUUUUUGACAAAAAAAAAGUUACUGAAUAUUUUUUAGACUUAAGUUUUAUAUUCACAUUCUGUCAGAAUGUGAAAAGAUCUGUUCUGCCCAGUUUCUGAGCAAAAACUUCAACUUUAAAAUAAAAGUUUUCAGGGAUUCACCUAAGUGCAUCACAGUCAACACCAGAUUGGAAUAUUUUAACUAUCCGUUUUUUGAACAUGUAAAACCCUUUAUAUGUAACUUCGUUUGAUAUUAAACUUGAUUUUUGAGCCUGUAAUUUUCUUCUCCAUUGGAAUGAAAAUAAUUUGUAUUUGCAAUACA